UACAUGCAGUCGAGCGAACAGAUGAAGUGCUUGCACUUCUGACGUUAGCGGCGAACGGGUGAGUAACACGUAAGGAAUCUACCUAUAAGCGGGGGAUAACAUUCGGAAACGGGUGCUAAUACCGCAUAAUAUCUUCUUCCGCAUGGAAGAAGAUUGAAAGACGGCUCUGCUGUCACUUAUAGAUGACCUUGCGGUGCAUUAGUUAGUUGGUGGGGUAAUGGCCCUCCAAGAGCAUGAGGCGCCUAGCGACACUGGGAGGGUGAUGCGCCCACUUGGGCCCCACCCCCCGCCCCAUCCACCUCGGGAGGCCCCUAUAGGGA
rnacentral:rRNA from 1 species